GCAACCAUUUUGUGUUCCGAACAAGGGUCCAGGCCCGAAACGUCAGCUUUUCUGCCCCUCUGAUGCUGCCUAAAUCUGCUGCGUUCAUCCAGCUCCACACCUUGUUAUCUCAGAUUCUCCAGCAUCGGCAGUUCUUACUAUUUCUGAGUGAAUAAGCGAAACGGCUGGCUUUCCCUCGCGCUGCCAUUUGCCGCUGCAAGCAGUGAAGGCGGACAGCCGCUCGGGCCCGAAGACGCGGAUCAUCCCGCUCGAGCCCGAAGACGCGGAUCAUCCCGCUCGAGCCCGAAGACGCGGAUCAUCCCGCUCGAGCCCGAAGACCCGGAUCAUCCCGCUCGAGCUCCUAGGUUCGCGCCCCCCCCCCAAGACAGCUACUCACCAGAGCCAUCCCCCACCCCAGAGGGGUAAACACCCUUCCCAACAAACAGCGAUUCAAACUGCGUCAAUCCAUAACCGAUGGAGUUCGGACUUCGAUACAUCAACGACUCCCAGAUGCACAAGUACGUGAAGUCAGCGUUUUCAUAAAACAGAAUCAUGUGUUCAGUGGGUGCUUCCGCUUACUGCGAUAGUCAUCCGAACUGUUUUCCACUUCACAUGGAUGUCAGGCGUAGAUUGUGUGAGCAUUGGCACCAUGUAUAUUGGGGGCAAAAACAUAUCAAGUGGUACUCCACCUGUGCCUGUGAUUGCGAAGGAUGGGUCUGGCCAUGUUGCCACGAAAUGUUCAUGCACUCGGACCAUACUGUACCACUGCUAUUUGUGGAAAAGUUUGUGCAGAAAAUUUGACCACAAGUUGAACAGGCAGUGGUCAACACUUAAAGAUUUUUUGAGGCCCUGCGAAGAGGGGAGACAUUUGAUCCUGUCAGAUCGUGUGGAGCAGACUCAACGUUUUUUGGUAGAACCUCAUCACCAAAUCUUGCCAACAAGUACCAAGAUGUAAUGUGGCUGGCAGUGUGAAGGGCACAACCGAUCAGAUGUUUCGUACUCAACUGGAAAUUGCCCUUGAAAUGGCUGAUAUGGUGAACCAACCUUUGGAUAGGCUGGUUCUAGAAUGUGUUUUUGCAAAGAAGGCAAUGGUCUUUGUUGAAGCCCAUCCCAAGCAGCUCCAUGACUCAGGACCCUGUGCGCUGCAAGUUGAUCCCUGGGGAUGCAGACCAAGUCAAACAUCAACUAUGCCUGUAGGUCCUUCAACUUGGCGAAAGAUGCUGUUUCAUCUGCUUGAAACAUGUUGAUCUUCCAGAGCAAAAGUUGCCCUGAACCAAGCGUUGUAGACUGAUGCGUUCCAAGGUCCAGAAAUAUUUGCUUAGGGACACACUUAGUCAAUGGCCUGGUCAGACCUUCCUCGGGGAUAGCUGUUAAAGUCAGUUAUGGCAGAUCAAGUUUGAUGUGACAAGUGCAAUGUUAUCAGUUUUCGUCAGAAGAAUUGAAGUACAGCUUUUUGUCUAAAUGGUGAGAAAUUUCAGCAUGCUUCUUGCAGAGGGAAGUGGGUGUCUUCAUGUAUGAAUUGCAGAAAACUAAUAUGGAGGUAUAGCAGGUAAUAAGGAAGGCAAAUGGAAGUUUGGUCUUCAUUGCUAAACAAGUAGAGCAUGAAAUUAGGACAGUGUUGUUGCAACUGUACAAGGCAUCAGUGAGACGAGUUGGAUCAUUGUGUACAAUUUUGGGGUCUUUAUUUGAGAGAGAGAAUUGUAUUGGAGGCAGUUCAGAGGAAGUUAAUGAGAUUGAUUCUAGAAAUAAGGGGCUUGUCAUAAGAAGAGAGGCCUAUACUCUGGAUCUAGAAGAAUGAGAGGAGAUCUAAUUGAGGUAAAUAAGAUAGUGUAGGGAAUUGUCAAAGUCGACCGAAACAGUAUAUUUCAUCAUGUAGAGCUAUCUAGAAUGAGAGGUCAUUGUUUUAGCAUGGGAGUAGCAGAUUUAAAGCAGAGACGAACAGAAUUUAUUUAUCUCAAAGGGUCAUGAAUCUGUGGAUUCAUUAUUCUGGAAUGCAGUGGAUGUUGGGACAUUGAGUAAGUUUAAGAAGGAGAUUGAAAGAUUAUUAAUUAGUAGUGGGUUUAAGGGUUUUGGAGAGUGGGGUGGAAAGUGGAACUGAGAUUAACCAUGAUCAUAUCAAACAGUGGAACAUGCUUGAGGAGCUGAACUGUCCUCUCACUCUCAGUCCUAAUGUAGUAAUGUGGCUGGAAAGCCGUAAGUCCUGGGGAGUCCAAAUGUUGGAGAGAAGGAAAAAGGUUUGAGAUUAGGUGCUCUGUAGCAGUAGUGGUGGGCCCAUUCAAAGCCUGGUUGGGAGAUGCUGGGAAGCAGAAGCAGAAAUGUAUUGAGGUGUGAGCAAGAAAGAUUGGGGGAAAGUUGAGGGAGAAUGGGAAUCAGUGGUUCAUAAUGGACGGGCAAGGGUAACUGUGGGGGUUUAUUGACAGUGACCAUCACUGUGGGAGAGCAUACGGGACCAUGGUGGGCAUCAUUAAAAUAUAAUGUCAGGUCUCAGGGCGCAAGGGGGUAUAUUGGAGGUGGAAGUCUGUGUGGAAGGUUUAUACACUCAGUGUUGGGGGGGGGGUAGAAUUCGUGGAAAUGGACUGCCCAGGUACAGCAAGAAAAAUGUGCACAUGCAGAUUCUUUAAUGGAGGGUGGGCACCUGGCACUGUGUGGAACUCAAUGCUGAGGUUUCACAUUUCAAGUUGCAUCCCUGCCAUCGUUUGCAGUUCACUAAAAGCGACCUGCAAAAGCUGCAUUUGCAGCAUACAGCCACACUUCAUUUGCAACGAUAUCACCUGAAUUGCAUGCAGUUCUAAAGUGUUCAAAUGCUGCACUCAGAUGAUGGUUCACCAUGUCAUUAGCUCUUGCAAAUUGCGCAUAGAGAUCUCAAUCAAGUACAUUUCAUCGCUUCUGACUUUAAACAAAAGUCUGAGUGCUGACCGUAACCAACACGGAAGUUGCAAGACUUCAAAGGACGGCUUGGGGAUGGAACUGCUCCUGUUUACUCCUGCACUUAUUCAUAGACAUCUACACCAUUGAGGGAGGCCAAUAAAAGCUAUGACUAUGGGCUCUCCUUGGAAAUUGCAUUUCAACUCAUCACUUUAGGCCCUGGAACAGCCUACUUCCCAGCAAUCAGUCUAUUCUUCAAGAAUCAGUGGCAUGUAACUUGGGAGCUGGUCAGUCUGAUACCCUUUUUAGUAGGUGUAUCACAUUGUGAGGGGUUGGAGUAUUUGUCCUCUGACUAUGGUACAGAACUGUUGGUCACAUGCACCAUUUGUCACUGCUUUUAUCGUUUGUUCUGUGCUGAUACUUUUUAUCUUUACGUGCAGCAAUGAUUUUAUUGCAUUGUUUACCAUAUCUGUGACAUGACAUGAGUGGGUGUUUUGGGUUUUUUUUGCUAAUCCUGGCUCUGACACAUCUGGCAACACACCCUCAAACUGCUGAGAAAGCAGUAAGAGUUUCAGGUAGUUUCUACUUGGCUGAUUCUACUUGUCUGAUGUGACAAUUGUGGGUCAGUUCUCACCUCUGCAUCAAAGGUGUGGUUUCCAGUUUCCAAAUUCAGGACUUCAUUGUACAACUUCUGGCUGAAACUCAAAUGCUUUACAUAAGGAAUGCUGCACUGUAGAAGGUGCCAUCUGUUGAACGAGGGAAGACGAGACCCAUUUUGUUCUUUCAGUUAGAUAUUAAAGGUCCCAUCACACGAUUUUGAAGAGGAGCUCAGAAGUUCUGCCUGGUGUCCUGGCCAACAUUCAUCCCUGAAUCAGUGUUGGAAAAUAAACUAAGAUAACCAAGUGUGAAGCUGGAUGAACACAGCAGGCCAAGCAGCAUCUCAGGACCACAAAAGCUGACGUUUUGGGCCUAGACCCUUUAUCUUGGAAAAUAAGCUGUCUGGUCAUUACCAAAAUUCUAAUUAUAGAAGCUUGUCACUGUCUCAUUUCCUGCCUUGAACAGUGACAGUAGUUUAAAACUAUAACCAAUGAGGUCUUGAAUGUGAAUACAAGUUUUUUUUUGGUCAGGGGCAUCUCAUUUAGCUAAGUGUCAGUCUCUGCCUAAAAAGCAAGUUUUAAAUUUGUAGGAGCAUGUGUAUUUGAAAGUGGGUUGAAUAAGCAGGUUUAAAUGUGGAGAAAUUGGCUGAGUGAAGCCAGUACCAAGCUGACUUAUGUGAACAGCACGUCAGGCAGUGUGCGAACAAUUCUGUUCUGAAAAGGAGUCAUGUUGGACUCAAAAUGUUAACUUUGUUUUUCUGCACAGAUGCUGCCUGACCUGCUGUGUUUGUUCAGGAUUUUUUUUUGUGCGGGAGACAUGGGUUGGCAUUUUCAAUGUAUUAUUUUCUCAUUUGCAACAGUGGAGUGUUGGAGGUUGAGGGGUGACCUCAUUGAGAUUUAUUAAAUCACGAGGAGCAUUGAUAAGUUGAAUGACCAGGAUCUUUUCCCUAGAGUGGGGGAGUUCAAAACUAGGGGCGAUAUUUUUACGGUGAGAGGAGAAAGAUUUAAGAGGUAUUUGGGUGGUGCCACAGUAAGUGGUGGAUUCAGGUACGGUUAGAAUGCUUUAAAGACAUUUGAAUAAAUUCAUGAAUUGGAAAAGUUUUGAGGGAUAUGGGCCAAGCCAAGCACAGGCAGGUGGGACAAGUUUAAUUUGGGAACAUGGACAGCAUGGACUGGUUGGACCGUCUCCAUGCUGUAUGACUCUAAGAAGUGUGUUGGGAAAGAAAGAUGAGAUCCUGGUAAAUUCAAACAGUGUUCUCUUAGACUAUUUAAACUUACUUGUGCAAAAUAUUGCAAGUUUUAAACAGCAGAAUAUAUGACAUAACAAACUUCCAAUAAUAUCAGUACACUUGGACAAUGAAAGCCAUCAGUUUAACUGGGACAAUGUGCCCAUAGCAGCCAAAGCCAAGCAAAAACACGGUUGGGAAUUCCUAGAGGCAUGGUUCUCAACCCAUAAUGCAAACAACAAACAUAUAGAAUUGGACCCCAUAUACAAACCCAUACAAAACAGAACUGGAAAUGACACAACUCACCAUAACAGACUGGACAGUGUAAAUUCCAAGUGGAGUACAACAACAUUGCUUCUUUGGAGACCUCACUGAUGUUACCUAGCAUGGCGACGAAACAUCUGAAUGAAAACAAACCAGCUCAGUGAGCAAGUCAACAACCUCACCCACAACUUGAGCUACAAAUCUUUGCAAAACCUUAAACAUGUAAACUGAUGUUCAAAAAUAUUUUCCAUAAUAAGCAGUGUUUGGUGCCUGGGUACUUAAAUUUGAUGUGGAGGAGCCAUCAGGAUAGAAUGUAGUGUUUUCUCUUCGCAGAUUAUUUAAUUAUGUAUUAGUGAUGUGGAGACGUCAGUGUUGAACUGGGGUGGACAAAGUCGGAAGUCACACAACACCAAGUUAUAGCCCAACAGGUUUAUUUGAAAUCACAAACUUUUGGAGCAUUGCUUCUUCUUCAGAAGUUACUUCACCUGAUGAAGGAGCAAAAGCUUCUGAUUUCAGAUAAACCCGUUGGACUAUAAUCUGGUGUCAUGUGACUUCUGAAUAAUGUAUCUGUUGAAUUUUGCUUAUUUUUUGUUAGCUUGUUUCCUGAUACAACAAAUCAUCAGCUUACUUGUUGGGAGCAAGAUUCAAAACAAUAAUAUAAAUUGCUAAAGAAACUCUGCUUUCUCUCCACAGAUGCUGACAGACGUGCAAAGUUUCUCCAACAAUUUGUUUUGUAUCAGAUUUCCAGCAUCCAUAGUUCUUUGUUUUAAACAAGAUUCAAAAUGUACCCUUCACCAGUUUCUUCUUUCACCGUCAAUUGACCCACUUAAUUUGUUCACAACCUAGUAGAUUUCCGGGGGCCUUUGCUGUGGACAAUAGUGAUUUUUAUUUGUUUAUUGGAUGUGUGCAUUAUCAGUGAGGAGGCAGUUAUUGCCCAUCCUUAAUAGCCCUGGAGGAGGUGUGGUGAAGUGAGCUGCUUUCUUGAACUGUUGCAGAACUUGAGAUGGACAUUCAUGUAGUUAUGCUUAAAUUGAAUUCCCAGAUUUUGAUUGGAGGCAAUGUUAUUUCUUGCACAACAUUGAGCUGAGUGCUUUGAUAAUCCAGGCCCAUGUAAAAAUGAACUAAGUUUAGCCACUGCAACCUUUGAACCUCCACUAUCAGCCUGAAUAAAUAAUUGGAUAGUUUCUGUUGAAAUCUCUACUUUGUAAUUCUGUGAACUCUUGCUCAGUCCUGCUGGAAGAGCAGUGCAGCCAGCUCUGUUUGUUUAAACGCAGAUGUUUGAUUCCCCUGGGGUUAUGAUGCACGCCAGACCCAUCAUGCACAGCUAAAUUAGUCUGCCAGUCCUGAUGAUCAGAUGAUUCUUGCUGCUUGCUCUUAACUUCCUCCAAAUGUAAGAAUAUUAUUUCUUUAAUGAUUUAACAAUGAUUUGCAUUUAUAUACUUAAAGGUAAUGCAGCAAGGCACUUUGUGAGUGUCACCAGAUCAAGAUUUGAUGUAAAGAACCUUUGGAAUAGAUGACCGAGAUGCUGAUCAAUAAAAUGGCGGUUUUCAAGAGUGAUGUAAAAUAUUUCAGGAUUUUCUUCUACUGUGCUACUUGCAUAAUUAUCCCACGUAUUGUACACUGUGUGAAGAGGAAUUUCCUGAUAUUUCUCUUAAUGUUAUAAUUUACGUUUUAGCUUUAUGCACUGUUAAUGCUGCAUGUCUCCAAACUCUCCUCAUAACUAAACAUCAUUCAUUCUGUCACAGCAUUAAC